GGAACAGACCGUAUCCCGGGUUCGUUAGGGCGCCCACUGAGACGUAAGUGGGCGGAGCCUAGAGAACGCUCCUCUCGACACAGCUAGAAGAUGUCAUCUAUGAGGGAAGGGGCCCUCAUCAGACACUGAAUCUGCUGAUGCCUUGAUCUUGAACUGUUCACCUUACAGAACGUUGUGAAGGAGAAGGUAGUAACCAUUGAGGAGAAAGGAAGAUGGAAGAGGCUGGUAUCCAGCUGAUAGUUCUCACAGAUGGAGUCUCACUCUGUUGCCCAGGCUGGAGUGCAGUG
rnacentral:lncRNA from 1 species